rnacentral:lncRNA from 1 species
CCAUAGCAAGAACAAAGAGAGGAAAAGAAAAACAAGAAACCUAGGUGGGAAAAUUAAAGAAAAAGUGUGGGAUUUCAAGGAAUCAAGUAAUCAAAGGUAAAAUUUCUUGAUUUUGACUUGUGAUCUACCUUUCCCAUGCUUUUCUCCUUAUUUUUCAUGGUUAAAUUUCAUGUUUUCAUGGUGAAUUCAUGGCUGCCCAAAUGGGUAUGGAGAGAGAAUGAAGUUAGAUUGAUUUGAUUUUAAGUUAUGUUAGUGUUUUAAGUUAGUUUAGCAUAUUUAGAAACAAAACAACAAGAAAAGAAUUCAUUUUCCCCCAUUACCAUCAUUGGCCGAAUUUCCUAGGGAGAAUAUUGUGGCUGAAUUUGAUGAUAUUUCAUGAUAUUUUGGUGAUAUUUGAUGUUUGGUGAGGCUAGAAAUUAAAUGGGAAAUUUUGGUGCAAAAAUACGAAUUUUUGCUCAACAUAUAGAUAUGUGUAAUUAUUGAUCCGGGACUGAUAAAUUGAACCUCAUUCACAGUCACUGAGGUAAUUUAGGUAUAAUUGGAGUGUAGAAAGUGAGAAGAAUUGAUUUAGAGUUAAAUUGGAGAUUUUAGCCGAUUAGGCCGAGUAUAGUGUGACUUAGGUCAAAUAUCACAUUUAAGUGAUUAAUCAGACAUUUUGCAUCCCAUCGCAUGCAUUCAUUUAGAUUUAGAGCGCCUGAAGUAGUUUAUGAUAAAUUAAAACAAUUUAUUGAAAUUCAUGUCACGUAUGAUGUAUAGGUGGUGAGCCCUCUAACAAGGGUAAAGAGAUUGUGCCCGAAGACCGGGAAUAGGAGUAUAUCGAACUCCUAAUAUUGUGAGUAACCUUACCAUCAUUUUAAUUAUCUAAAGUAUGUUUUUAAUCGAUUUUGAUGAAAUUUUAUGAAAAUGAAAUUAAAUGGUAAAUCUUGAGUUUUACAAACAAAAUUUGUCUACAUGAAAAGAUUUUAUAAAUUGUUUUAAAAUUGAAUGAUGAUUUUGAAAAAUAGAGUAACUGGAGACCACUUGUUAUGAAUUAAAUUUAUGAAUCUAAUGGCUUAUGAUAGUAUUUGCAUGAAUGGCUGAAUUGGUAUUGGUGUUGAAAUAUAUGAAAUGUGUAUUUAGUCUUGAAAGGUUGUGAAUUAUAAUAAUUGCCAUGUCAUGCUACAAUGAGUUUUAUUGAUGGGUGGAUUAUAUAUUAAUUAAUUACUACAAUAGUGGGUUUUUAUGGACCAGCCUUUUAGAGGGGCACGGUAAACCCCAUUAUAUUCUUACCUCGAACGGAGAGGCCCGUAGGGUAUCUCUUGGGGUAAAGCUUAGGGUUCAAUUCACGCUAAACCACCACGUGAAGGGGAACUCAGCUAACGCCAAGGAACGACUGUGUUUUCUCAAACUAAAAAUAUAUUUUAUGUAUAUACGAAAUUUUUAACAGCCUUGGUGGGCUCGAGUGUACGCUUCUGAUCAAGGUGUCAUCGAGUAUAUUUGAUGGCAUGAGCCAACUGUUUAUGAAAGUCAUAAGCCUUAAUGAGAAAUUAAAUGAAAUACAACCGUUUGCAUGGGUUGGGAUGAAUUUUCAAAUUGUGAAAUACUUAAAAUGAUGAGAUAUUUUAAUUGUCUCAUUUUACUCGGCUUUAGCUGAUUUAAAUGGUGUUUGUUUACUCACUGAGAUUUUAUAAUCUCACCACCCUCCUUUCCACCCAAUUCAGGAUCAGAGUAGAUUGUAAAUAGUUGAUUCCAUCAAGGGCUUCCAUUGGACUUGCGUCAUUUGAACUGUAGGUUCACCGUUUUCCUCACUUCUAGUCAUUCGUGGGCCCACUUGAUAUUGUAAAUUUAAAUUAAUUUAAAUACUCUAGUUUAUUGCAUCAUAGUAUGAAUGAAUUUAUUUUGUUUUUACAUUACAAAAAGUAUUUACGCAUAACUCCAAAAUUAUUGUUUAUAAGAAAAUAAAAUAUUUUAUUGAAUAUUUUGUUUUAUCUUCUUAUUAUAUUCAAAUAAUUAUAAUUCAAUUUUAAAUAAAGGUUUUAGAUGCCUAAACUUAUUUUUAAUUGUGAAUUAUGCGAUUGGUACUUGUUUACUACAUUUUUAACUAGUUUCGAAAUUUUCAGUGGAAAAUGACCAAAAUGCCCCUAUGAGAUAAAAAUUUUUAUUUUAUCAGUUUUAAGUUGGAAAUAGCUCAAAAUCCUUUAGAACAUAAAAUUUGGUAACGGUUACUCACCGGGGGAAAUGAGAAAUUGAUAUUAAGCCUUGCGGGGUUCUAGUUGGCAUUUUGGGAAAUGAGUGCCCAUUAGGGCAUCGUGGUUGUUGUCACGGGCUCGAGGGGAGUUCUGGGUCAUGACAUAAUCCUUUUUCUUGUUAGUUUAGGUUUGUCUUGUGUAGGUGCAGCAGCUUUUCCUUUCUCAUUGCCAAAUUGCUCACGCUUCCCAUUAGGUGAUGAUCUUUCUAGUUCAAGGGAUACUCUUGUAGAUGUUGGUUUCGGAGCUUUGGUCUUUGAUGCUUUUCUUUCAGAUUGUUCUUCUCUGACAAUUUGAUGAAAGACAUCUAUGAUUGAAAUUUCCUCAAAGUUAGGUGGAGAUGGUUUUUCUAGUUGUCGUUCAUCAUGCGGUGGAGAGUUGUCAUCAAAAGAUCUAAGUACUUCACCUUUAUUGGAUUCUUCUUUUUUUUCAAGCUCAAGAGUGGGAGAUUUCCUCGGCUGAACUGAUUCUGGUUUAUGACUUUCAGCUUGGAAGGCAAGACCUUCAACAGCUUGUCUUGCUGAUGCUAGACUUGGUGUUGCAGAAGUGUCUUCAGUUGCAAGACCAGAGGAUGAUUUUCCUUUUUCUUUCACCACAUUUUCAAGCUCUACCAACUUAUCUUCAAUUCUCUGAAUCCUUACAACAAGGUCAAUGAGUUUCCCAUCAAUUCUCAUUAACAAAUUCAGGAUUAUUUCAAUCGAAAUAUGGGAGGAAGUUGUCUCUGUCUGUGCAGGGAUGGAAUGCUCAUCCCUUGGAGCAAUUUUGAGGGUCUUGACAAACUUUUCUCCUUCUAGUUUGUACCCCAUCUUUGGCAAACUUCCUAGAUAGAUUGCCUGAUCCCUGUUCUUAAUUUGAUCAUUCUCAUAUCUGAAACUCCAUAUCCCAUUUUCUUUAUCAGAGAGGUAAUUAUGUUCCUAUAAGGCAGAUUUACCUUGUCGACUUGACAGGUUCCUCUCAUUCUUUCUAUCAUGAAUCUACCUAAGUUCAGGGGAGUACCAUUAAAGGCAUGCUCCAUCAGCCACAUAUAUUGAAGGCUUAUGUAGUUGAGGUUAUCACUUCUACCAUGAAUUGUAGAGGUAAUGAAAUAGUAUAGUAUCCUAAUCUGAGGGCUUUUAAUGAAACUGGAAUAACUUUUGGAUGAAUAUCUUUCCUUUUUUCCUUGUGAUUAUUUCCCACAGAGAUGAUAAGGGAUCAUAAUCUUCAGGGAUUUCAUAUUCUCCCUUUUCAUAUUCAACUUUAAGCAGACUUCCCAAAUCUAUGGCAGUGACCACAAACUCCUUUCCAUUUAGAAACACAUUCAGACCAUUAUCAGCAAAAUCCUCAAGAUCAUCAAGUUCAGUUUCAUUUAGGGCAAUACCACUAUAGAAUUCUUUCACAAGGCUAGCGCUAUAAGUUUUGUUCUUAAAAAGGCUCAAUUUCUUUAAUUUUAUCUCAUUGAAUAUUUCGAUAAACCUUUUUUAAUUUUUGAAACCUUAUCAAAACUAUCCUGGUCAAUAUAUUUCCCAUAUGAAAUGGGUGUAUUCUCUAUCUUCCUAAAUCUAUCCUCAUGAAUUUUAUUUCUAAAUUUGGUGGAUGGAGGUUUACCUUGUCUGAUGAAUUUUUCUUUUUCCUUCUUUUUCUCUGAUUUAUGUUCUUUCUCUUUCUAUUUUUUUCUAGUUUUCUCUAUCAUCGAGGCUAACUUAUCCUUCUUCCUCUUUUUUUGAAUCUCGAUUAGUGGACUUUCUUCCAUGGGUCGUUUUCCUUUUUUCUUUUCCAGAACACUACUGGGUAAAGUGGUUUUGGCCAUCGAUUUUGAGUGGUUUUAGACUUAGGGUUUGAGAGUUCGAGAGAAAUAGGGUUUCGAUUUUCCAAAAGAGUGGCUUCUGAUGUGAAAGAAUAAGGGGAGAGGGUGAGAAGUUUAGAGUGGUUUUUCUUUUUCAAAAACCGUCAGACUUCCUGUUUUUAAAUGCCGUUAGUUACCCUCUUUUUCAAAGUUCAAAAGUUUACAUCUCGUUUUAUUUUUCACUCAAGUAGUUUUUAUCUUUUCUUCUUCACCCGAUAAGCUUGCUCUUUUCCUUUUAGUAUAUUUUAUCUUAGUUUCUUAACUGACUGAGUUUUAUGUUUAUCUAACUGAGCCUUAUUAUUUAAAGGAAACAAAAUGCUCUUAGUUGGUUAAGCGAUUCUCUUAAUCAAUUAAGUACCUACUGUCUUAUGAAUGGAAAUCUCACAAAUUUCCUAAAGCUCCUGUAUGUUAAUCAUUCCUAGAUUUCUCCUAAUUUCAUAGAAUCUUUUCUCAUUCAGGGGCUUGGUGAAAAUAUCAACUAAUUGUUGUAAAGUAUUAACAAACUCAAUCUUAAUGUCUUCUUUAAUCACAUGGUCUCUAAUAAAGUGAUGUCUAAUUUCAAUAUGUUUGGUCCUAGGUGCUGAACAGGAUUCCUUGAUAUAUUAAUGGCACUCAUGUUAUCACAAAAAUAUUGGUACAUUAUGCAUAAUUACUCCAAAGUCUUUCAAUUGUUGUUUAAUCCAUAAAAUCUGAGCACAGGAACUACCUAAGGAAAUAUAUUUAGCUUCAGCUGUGGAAAGUGCAACAAAGUUUUGUUUCUUGCUUGACCAUGACACAAGCAUAUGUCCAAGAAGCUGACAAGUGCCACUAGUACUUUUUCUAUCAAUUUUACUUCCUUCAAAGUUAGCAUCAGAAUAUCCAAUGAGAUCAAAAGAUGAUCCUCUUGGAUACCAUAGUCCUAGACUUUGUGUGUCCAUUAAAUAUCUAAAGAUUCUUUUUACCGUAGUUAAGUGUGACUCUUUAGGCUGUGAUUGAAACCGUGCACACAAGCAUACACUAAAUUGAAUAUAAGGCCUGUUUGCAGUUAAGUAAAGCAAAGAUCCAAUCAUAGCUCUAUAAAGCUUUUGAUCAAUACUUUUUCCUUUCUUAUCAGCAUCAAGUUUGGUGGCAGGACUCAUUAGUGUGUUGAUUGAUUUCAAUUUUAGCAUAUCAAACUUUUUUAGCAUGUCUUGAACAUAUCUUUCUUUAUUGAUGAAAAUGCCCUCCUCACUUUGUUUGAUUUGAAGGCCAAGAAAGAAUUUUAGCUUUCCUAUCAUGCUCAUUUCGAAUUCACCCUGCAUUUUUUCAACAAAGUUCUUGCACAAAGCCUUAUUAGUAACACCAAACACAAUAUCAUCCACAUAGAUUUGAACAACAAUUAAAUCAUUCAAGCAUUUCUUAGUAAACAAUGUUGUGUUAAUACUUCCUCUACUAUAUCCUUUCUCAACUAAAAACUUUGAGAGCCUUUCAUACCAAGCUCUAGGAGCUUGUUUUAAUCCAUAUAAGGCCUUAUGUAAUUUGAAAACAUAAAUAGGUUUUUCAAAGUCCUCAAAUCUAGGAGGUUGUUUAACAUAGACUUUUUCUUAAAUGAGACCAUUUAAAAAUGCACUUUUUACAUCCAUUUGAAAUAAUUUGAAGUUCAUGAAACAUGUAAAUGCAAGCAAUAACCUUAUGGGUUCUAUUCUAGCAACAGAAGCAAAUGUUUCAUCAUAGUCAAUACCUUCUUCUUGGUUAUAUCCUUGAACCACUAACCUAGCUUUGUUUCUAAUAACAUUACCUUGCGCAUCUACCUUAUUUCUGAGCACCCACUUUGUGCCAACAAUUGGGUGAUUUAAUGGCCUAGAAACCAGUGUCCAUACUCGGUUUCUUUGAAAUUGAUCAAGCUCUUCUUGCAAGGCCAAUAUCCAGCUUUCUUCUUUUUCUGCCUCUUCAAAGCUUUUAGGCUCGAUUUAUAAGAUGAAAGUUGAGAACUCACAUGUUUCUCUAAUUCCUCUCUUGGUUUUGACUCCUUGUGUAAUAUCACCAAUGAUCUAGUCUUGUGUAAUAUCACCAAUCCUCUCUUGCUCGAUUUCUGCCUCUUGGUUUUGACUCCUUGUGUAAUAUCUCCAGCUCUUUAGAAGGUCAUCAUGCUAACUUUCGGUUCUUUGCAGAUUUUUUAGAGGUGGAGUUUUUGUUUCUCUUCCAGAAGUGCUUUCUUCACUAUUUUUCUUAUUUUCUAGACUCAUUUCUUUUAUUUGUCUUUCAAAGUCCUUUGCAUCAUUUUCAUCAACAAGAACUUCCUUUUGCAAGGCAUUAAAUUCAUCAAAAACUACAUGGAUAGACUCUUCAACUGUUAAAGUUCUUUUGUUAAAAACUCUAUAAGCUUUUGAGUUUAAUGCAUAUCUUAAAAAUAUUGCCUCAUCACUCUUAGCAUCAAACUUUUCUAGAGAAUGUUUUCCAUUGUUCAAUCAAAGCAUUUACAGCCAAAACUUCUAAGGUGAGAGAUGUUUGGUUUUCUACCUUUGUAUAGUCCAUAUGGGGUUUUUAAUAUCAUAGCCCUUAUUGAGACUCUAUUAAGAAUGUAAGUUACUGUGUUGACAACCUUUGCCUAAAAAUACUUUGGUAGAUUGUUCUCACAAAACAUGGUUCUAGCAAUUUCUUCUAGAGUUCGAUUCUUCCUUUCUACAACCCCAUUUUGUUGAGGUGAUCUAGGUGCAGAAAAAUUAUGAUCCAACCCCUUUUCAUUGCAAAAAAUUUCAAACUCAUCUCCCUCAAACUCACCUCCAUGAUCACUCCUAAUGCUAACUAUGACAAAUCCUUUUUCAUUUUGAACCUUCUUACAAUGAUUUACAAAUGCAGGUAAUGCAUCAUUUUUAUGAGCAAGAAAGUAGACCCAAGUAUACCUAGAGUAGUCAUCAACUAUCACAAAGUCAUAUGAUUUGCCUUCUAAGCUAGUUAUAUUAAUUGGACUAAAUAAAUCAAUAUGCAGCAGUUCAAGAGGUCUAGAGGUUGAAACAAUCUUCUCGGAUUUGAAGGAUGUUCUAACUUGUUUACCUAGUUAGAAAGCAUCACAAAUUGAUCAUUCUCAAAUUUAAGUUCAGGCAAUCUAAUAACCAGAUUUUUUCUCAUCAAUUUUGAGAUGGUAUGCAUGCUCACAUGUCCAAGCCAUCUAUGCCAUAACCAGUUAUCAUUUUCUUCAUUUUCCAUAAGACAUGUUUCAUAAUUAAGUUCAAGAUCUUCAAGAAAUAUGACAUACAUGUUUUUUAUUCUCUUUCCUAUGAAUGAAGUUUUGUUGGUACUCAUAUUAAUGACUUCACAUUUAUGUGAAUCAAAACAUACCUUAAACCCUUUGUCACAUAGUUGACUGAUGCUUAAGAGAUUAUGCUUUAAUCCUUUAACAAACAACACAUGAUUAAUUUGAGUAUGAGAUUUCUUACCAACAGUGCCUAUACCAUAAAUUUUACCUUUUGGAUCAUCUUCAAAUGACACCGUACCUCCCUUUUUCUUAUUUAGCUAAGCAAACAACAUUUCAUUUCCAGUCAUAUGUCUUGAGCAGCCACUAUCCAUGUACCAUGGUUCCUUCUGCUUCAGUUGUACUUUUUGACAUAUGUCUUCUCAGUUUAGCUUAGCUUGUAAGACAAAUUUUCAGUUUUUCUUAAUAGGUACCCAUUCUUUGAUGGGUCCUUGAAGGUUGGUUGCAACAUAGGAUCCUUUUGGAACCCAAAUCUUUCUUGUUUUUUGUGUGCUUCUUCUUUUAUAGUAGUUAUAAGAAAAAUGACCAAGUUUGUCAUGACCCGGAACUCUCAUCGGGCCAGUAACAAUCGUCUCGACGUCUCAAUAGGCACUCAUUACCCCGAAUGCCGAUCGAAACCCCCUCAAGGCUUAGCAUCAGCUUCCGUAUCUCCCCGGUGAGCGACAGUUAUUAAAUCUCGCAUUUCAAGAAAUCAUAAGUCAUUUCCAAAUCAAAACAAUAAAAUAUUAUUUUCUGGCUCACAGGGGCUUUUCGUCAUUUUUCUUCAAAAAUAUCAAAACCUGCCAAAAAUAUGGUGUAAAAGAUAAAUAUGUUCAUACAUACUUUAAAUCAGAUAACUGAAGUAUAAAAUUACUUUCACAGUGACACGUGGGCCCCCAAUUGACCAAGAAGGUGUAGGGCUACGAACCCUUACUUUCUAGGAUGCAACUCCGAGAUUAAUUCUCGUCUUAAUCAACUAUCAACAAACUAUCCUGAGCUUGAAAAAUGGAUAGGAAGAGGGGUGAGAUUAUGAUUACAUAAUCCCAGUGAGUAAACAGAUACCAUCUAAAUAAUCUAAAAGCGAGUAAAGAGAGACAAUUAAAAAUAAUUCAUUUCAGCAAAUUUUUCACAACACGAAUAUUCAUUUCAACCAAAUAAUCAAUAUGGCUCAUGAAUUUCUCAAAACUUGGCUCAUGCCAAAUCCUGUACUCGGGGACACCUGGACCAAGGGUAUCCAACCGAGUCCGCCAAGGCUGUGAAAAAUUUUAUAUAAUCAUAAAACUUGUUUUUAUUUUGAAAAAAAAGCAGUCGUUCGUUGGCGUUGACUGAGUCUCACUUCACGUGGUGGUUAACGUGAAGUGCACUCAAAAAGCCCACCUCAGGAGAUACCCUACGCGCCUCUACGACCGAGGUGAGAAUAUAAAGGAGUUUACUGUGCCCCUCUAAUAGGCUAGUCCACGAAACCCCGCCACUGCAGUAGCUAAUCUUUAUUUUAUCUACCACCUGAUUUAUAAAAUCCUUAUCUGCAUGACAUCGUAAUUUAUCGCAAUCUAGGCUCCCAAGACUGAAUACAUAGUAUAUAUAAUUUUGAUACAAAUACCGACUUUGCCAUUCAUGCUCACAUAUUGUUAUAAGCCAUAUAAUUUAAAACACAAUUUAUAACACAAGCAGGCAGUCUCCAAUUACUCUAUUUUCAAAACCAAUAUUCAAUUUUCCAGAAAAUUAAUAAAAUCAUUUUAUAAAAUCACAAUUUCUGCUAAAACAUAGCAAUUUACCAUUUAAACCCAUUUUCUAUAAAAUCACAUAAUUGUAUAAAACUACUCUAGAUAAUUAAGAUGAUAAUAAAUUCACUCACAAUAUUAGGAGUAGAAAUACUCCUAUUUUCAGUCUGCGGGUACAGUCCUUUACCCGUAUCCAAUGGCUCACCACCUAGCCAUAAUCCAUGACACAUAUUCCAAUUAAAUUGUGUCUAACAGUCAUAAGCUAUUUCAGGCUCGAUAUAUAUGCAUGAUAUGAAAUGAAAAAUGCACGGGUAGCCAUCUAGACCCGGUAUUGGCCUAAGUCGAUUUUUCAUCCGAUAAAUUGGCCAAUGCGUCCAAUUUCACUCCAACUUGCUCCAUUUCUUUUCCAAUCCCUCAAUUCACCAAGCACAACUAAUUAACACACAAUUAGGUGAAAUUUAUCUUCACUUUUCUUCUUGGAACUUUCGGCCAACAAUGGUACACUAACUCCGUGAUUUUUCCUACUUAAUUUUCUCUCCAUAAUUCAUUAAUUCCUACACCAAAAACUAUUAUUUCUUAAUCAAAUCACCUAGAAUAACAUCCCAUUCUUCCUCAUUAUUCACUUAGAGAAUUCGGCUAUUGAUGGGCACCAAACCUUUGGUGGUUUUCUUCACUUGUUUUCAUGCUACACAUCAUUAAUCACCUAAAAACACUAACAUACCUAAAAAUCAAACCAAUCCAAGAUCAUUCUCUCUCCAUACCCAUUUUGACCAGCCAUGAAUUCAUCAUGAAAACAUGUAAUUUAACCAUGGAAAUUAAGGGACAAUGCAUGGGUAAGGUAAAUCACUAACAAAAUCAAAGAAAUUUUACCUUUGCUUGAUCAAAUCCUUGAAUUCCAACACUUUCUCUUUGAUUUUUCCCACCUAGGGUUUGUUCUUCCUUGGUUUCUCUUAUCUUCUGGUUUGGCUGAUCAUUAUGGGAGAAAUGGGCUGAUUUUUUUGCCUUUUUAUAAAGAAAUAAUAAAAUAAUAAAAACAUGACACAUGGCAUUUCUUUAUUGGUUCAAAUUUUAAAUAUUUGACUUUUAAUUCUUUAAUUCUCCACCACACAUUUCUCAUGUUUAUCCAUUUCCAUGAUGAAUAAAAUCCCUUGGUCUUGACAACUGUCGGGGGUGAAAAUUUACCUAUUUGCCCCUAGGGUGGCAAAAUUACCAUUUCGCCUCUAUACUCUAAAUUAUAUCGAAAUUAAAAUUUUUCACUUCUAAACUUCAAAUCAUACUCCUAUAAGUCAAAUGGGGCUAAAAAAAUCUUUUCUAAAAAUUUCCAUUUUGUCCCCAAGUGGCAAAUGACCAUUUUGCCUCUGGAUAGUGAAAAUUUCGGUUUGACUCCAAAUUGAUCCUCUAACUUCGAAUUACCAUUUUGAGUCAUCCCUGAACUGUGAAACUCUUAAUUUCACCUUAAAAUUCCUAUUUGAACUAGUUCGAGUCUUAAUCGACUUAAUGGUACCAUUAGGGGCAAUAUCGUCUUUUAACGAUUCCUCGAACUUCCUAAACAUGCAAACAUUCUAUUGAGCAUGUAAAUGACGUCGUAAUUAUUUUAUAGAAUAGGGUUUGACAAAGUUUAUCACAAACAUAACAUCUAGAGGAGAAAUCAUUAGCAUUUCUACUGAAAUUUGUGUUCUUUCUUGAUGAUUCUUUUCUCAAACUCUUAAGAGUAGUAUUUUCAUCAAUUCUUUUUUGUAAAGCUUCAGUUCUGUUUUCCAAUUCCAAUUUUUGAAUUUCAAAAUCUGUUUUUGAAUGUUCCAGUUCCGUUUGAAGAAAGUUUCUUUGUUCAAAAAGAGAAUUAAAGUCAUGUCUUAUAUUUUCUAAAUCUAUCUCAAGAUAUGCUGUCUUUUUCUUUAAAAUCUUGUAUUUUGAAGCAAGUUUUUCAAAUUCAUUAUAAAGACAUUCAUAUUCUUCUUGAAGUUCAUAAAUAGAAAUAUCACAAGGAGCUAAAGAUACCUCGGAUUCAUUAUCCUUUGCCAUCAGACAUAAAUUUGCUCUUUCUUCCACUUUUUCUUCUUCAGCAUCUGAACUUGAAACAUCACUGUCAGACCAGGUAGCAGCCACCAUUGCCUUCUUCGAUUUUCUAUUUUUCUUGGGAGCUUCCUCCUUCAGCAAGGGGCAUUCUGACUUAAAGUGACUAGGUUUCUUGCAUUCGUAACAAAAUGACAUCAUCUUUCUUGUUGGAUUCAUUUUUACUUCUAUUUUCCACGAAGAACUUUGUUCUCUUCUAUAGCUUUUCUUAGCUAGCCUCCUAUUUCUUUGUCUCAUGAGCUUUCUGAAUCUUCUUGCAACAUAGCCAAUUCUUCAUCAUCAUCACAAGAUAGAUUGUCCAAUUCUUCUUCAAGGAUGCUUGCUUUUAAAACAAUGCUUUUCUUCUUUUCUUUUGCUUCUAUCUUGUCUUCUUCUUCUUCUUCUUCUUUCAGCUUCAACUCAUGAGUAAGGAAAGACUCGCAUAUUUCAUCAAGAGUUAUAACAUUUAAGUGCUUGGCUUCACGAAUAGCAAUCACCUUUGGCUUCUAAUUUUUGGGUAGGCUUUUAAGAAGUCUUUUGAUAAUUUCAUGUUCAGGAAUUGGUUUGCCUAGCUGACUGAGUUUAUUUGUGAUGUUAGUGAAUCUAUCAAGCAUGCUGGUGAUAUCUUCACCAGGUUCCAUCUUAAACAUCUCAUAGUUGUGAGGAAGGAGAGCUAUUUUUGACUUCUUAACUUGUGAAGUCCCUUCAUGAAUAAUCCUAAGUUUAUCUCAUACUUGUUUAGCUGUGGUAUAGCUUGACACUUUGUUGAACUCAGUGGGAGUUAAAG